UCUUCCUCUUCCUCUUCCUCUUCCUCUUCCUCUUCCUCUUCAUUAUCUGGAUAAUCCACUAGGCCACCCAAACUUCCCUUGGUGGCUGUUACUGAUGUAGCCAAGUUUGUAGUUUUGGAAGGAGACCCAUUAGAACUUGCUG
rnacentral:miRNA from 1 species